rnacentral:lncRNA from 1 species
AAAUACAUAUCUUUUCAUAGUAUUAAAAAAUUCAGCAUAUGACACAUCCAAUAGGAUCUUGUUCCACUCUUGAAACAGAAGAAUAUUGAAUAUAUUGUGGUUGUUGCAUGUAAUAAUAAUGAGGAUAGGCUUCAAGUAAUUGAAUUUGGUCCUUCUUCACAUCAGGCUUAGGUUCUUCUUUCUUCUUUUCAUCUUUUGCAGGUCCAACAGAAACUAUUUCAGCAUGACACCACUUCCUAAGUUUGCUUAGUACAUGUACUGGAUCUGUGUCUCCAGUUAAGGUUAAUUUCUUGUCUUUCAUGUCCACAGAAACUGAUUCUACCCCUGCAAAUAAUAUAGCAAUACGAUUUUAGGAAGAAAAAAAUUAAAGGUAAUCCAAUGUUAUAUUAUGAAAAAAAUUUAAGGUUAAUUUCUUGUCUUUCAUGUCCACAGAAACUGAUUCUACCCCUGCAAAUAAUAUAGCAAUACGAUUUUAGGAAGAAAAAAAUUAAAGGUAAUCCAAUGUUAUAUUAUGAAAAAAAUUUAAGGUUAAUUUCUUGUCUUUCAUGUCCACAAAAUUUUCCCUCUAGAUUAAAUAAAGUGAAGGCAAAUAAUGCAUGAGUAAAAUAUAUUUACGUUAUAUGUACAUAUCAAAUAAAUUAUCUAUUUAAUAUUUAUUUUCUCAAUAUUGAAACUAGACAUGUACAUUGACAUUACCUGAAAGGCCAGAGACUGUCUUCAUAGCUUUUUGCUUGGUUCUGUCAUCAUGUAU